CCACAGCAAGCCACUAGAUGUAUGCUCGUCCUAGCUGCCGACGCAGGGGAAUCCGGUGGAAGUCCGGAGCUGUCCCGCAACGGUGAGCGAUGUACGGGCAUGCCUGCCACGCGCCGGCGGGUCCGUAUGUCGUGAGCCCGAAAACCUGCGGCAGCGAUCGAUGACGU
rnacentral:ncRNA from 2 species